UCGGUAUCUACUAGAAUCUACUGCUUCAACGAAGGAAAAGCUUCUCGGGCUUGCUAGAAUUUUUUCAAGGGAGAAGGAUGAGUCAUUGUGAUAACGAAGGAGUGUGGAAAGUUUAUACACGUGGAAGCAGGAGGGUGGUUUACCCAACUGAAACUGAGGAUAUUGAGGAAGAGGUUAAGCAAACUGAAAAUGAGGAAAUGGAGGAGUAAAGUUGUUGCAUCAGCAUCAAAUCUCGGCAGUCAAGAAGUCUUUAUUCAUUAGUCAAAUUUGUUAUUCUGUUCCUUUAUUUUAGCAUCGUAAUCGCCUAUUUAUAGAGAGACUCAAAGUGGAGAAAAGCAUCUUUGGGAAUCAAUAUUUUGGGCGAAGUAUUCGCAAGCCUCCUUGAGCCUUUCCCUCUAACACGUUGUCAUCCAAGGAAACGCGGAGUCCUGAUCGUGAAGUUGGAUUUUCAGUAGCAGCAAGUCCAGCCAUGAGCAUUGCAUGUGAAUAGGAACAAGGGAUGUUUUCAUGAUGAAGGAUUCUCAAUUCUCAACAGUAGAAAUCUCUUUUAAUUAAGCUCCACAGGAGACUAAUUCAUGACUAUAUGUUUUUUCUAGCUUAAUUGUAGUCACAUUGUAUAGGAAUACAAGGAGUAUAUAGUUUAUGGUUAUUAUUUAAAAUAAAUAACACUUAUUUCAGUA